CUGAUCAUUCCUAACUCUUAAUACAUUAUAGUAAGAUUUCUUAUCAUUGCAUGCUUAUGCUCUGAAUCUCUCAAUUUGAAACCACCUUUAUGCUUUAUUUUAUUUCAAAGUUUAUACCUUUCUUUGUUGUUUGUGAUGCUCCAUAUGAUCCUCUCUAAUUCCACAUCUCAACUUUUCAUGCUGCUGUUCCUAAUAUACUAUUUUCAGGACUGUCUUUAUUUGCACACUAUUACUACCUUUAAACUUCCCUAUUCCUAUUUCCAUGCUAUAUAACUCAAAAUUUUUGCCUUUCAUAGUAUGAAUGUACUAGUGUAUGUGUGCAAUGAUUAGUACUUGAAUUCUGCAACUUCCUCGCAGGGACCUUAUAAUUUGUUAAUCUGCAUUCUAAUGCAUGAUAUAUCCAUAAACUGUCCUGUCUAGUAAAAUCCAUAAUUUUUUUUAUGUAAUAUCAGUUACUCUUCCUACCAGUUGUUAGUGUUUGGCCUUCUAAUUGUCACCCACUGUGAAAAUAUUUUUUUCCUGGCAGUUUCUGCAAUAAACAAUGCUUCACUUAAAUAAUAUAUAUAGAUUGGCAUUUUUCUCUGUUUUCUCAUCUAAUUCAUGCUUUCUAUUCCCACCACACAUGCUACUACAAAAUUCUAUUGUUACAGUAUUUCACCAAGGCUUAAUUUUCAGGAACAUCGGUGCUCCCAGGCUAUCCGCUUCAUAGUUGCAGUUGAUGGAAGAUUCAUCAACUCAGACUUGACUUCACUCGUGCUGCGAUGGCCAUGGUUUUCGCAGCAUUUUUGAUAUAUGAUAUUUAUUACCCAUCAGAAGCUUCAGUCACAAUGGAAUUUAUGCAGAGGUGUUUCUGAAAAAUAAAUGCAGAAAAAGGGACAAAAAAUACCAGAACAAAGAAAAACGUGGCACACACCCAUUGAAGAAUAUUAAAGUUCAAUGAGCUUAUGGAAUAAGGAGUGAAAAAGCAUUCACACUCUUCUGUAUAAAUAAUUAAUGUUAAAUUUUGUGUUAAAAAAGUUAUAAAUCUGUUUUUCAAGAAUAAAGUUUUUUAAAAGUUAA